rnacentral:rRNA from 1 species
AUGCAGUCGAGCGAACAGAUAAGGAGCUUGCUCCUUUGACGUUAGCGGCGGACGGGUGAGUAACACGUGGGUAACCUACCUAUAAGACUGGGAUAACUUCGGGAAACCGGAGCUAAUACCGGAUAACAUUUGGAACCGCAUGGUUCUAAAGUGAAAGAUGGUUUUGCUAUCACUUAUAGAUGGACCCGCGCCGUAUUAGCUAGUUGGUAAGGUAACGGCUUACCAAGGCGACGAUACGUAGCCGACCUGAGAGGGUGAUCGGCCACACUGGAACUGAGACACGGUCCAGACUCCUACGGGAGGCAGCAGUAGGGAAUCUUCCGCAAUGGGCGAAAGCCUGACGGAGCAACGCCGCGUGAGUGAUGAAGGGUUUCGGCUCGUAAAACUCUGUUAUUAGGGAAGAACAAACGUGUAAGUAACUGUGCACGUCUUGACGGUACCUAAUCAGAAAGCCACGGCUAACUACGUGCCAGCAGCCGCGGUAAUACGUAGGUGGCAAGCGUUAUCCGGAAUUAUUGGGCGUAAAGCGCGCGUAGGCGGUUUCUUAAGUCUGAUGUGAAAGCCCACGGCUCAACCGUGGAGGGUCAUUGGAAACUGGGAAACUUGAGUGCAGAAGAGGAAAGUGGAAUUCCAUGUGUAGCGGUGAAAUGCGCAGAGAUAUGGAGGAACACCAGUGGCGAAGGCGACUUUCUGGUCUGUAACUGACGCUGAUGUGCGAAAGCGUGGGGAUCAAACAGGAUUAGAUACCCUGGUAGUCCACGCCGUAAACGAUGAGUGCUAAGUGUUAG